rnacentral:ncRNA from 1 species
GUUGGAAACUGAUAAUUUUUUCUUUAAAAAAGUCUUUAAUAAGGUAUUGAUCGUUUAGAUCCGUGGUGUAGUUUUAGCUUUUUCGUAAACUUACAUGUAAAUUUAAGUGGGUAUAAGAUUUCAAAAAUUUGGUUGAAGAAAUUCUCAGUAGGAAGUUUUAGGAAUUAACGGAUGUUUUACCUAGAAAAUGGAAUAGAGAUGGACAAUGGCGUGCCAGCAGCCGCGGUUACACUCCUGUCUCAAGCUAAAAAUGUUGUACAAAGUCGUAGUUUUUUGGAAUAAAUGGAUAUUACUUUAUUUUUGAGGUAGAAUUCGAUAUAAGGGAAUAGACAUAAUAGAUGAACUAUAAAAAAAAUUUUAGGGACCAGGAUUAGAUACCCUGUUACUUAUUUUAAUAGGCUUUGGAUUAGUAUUAUUAAUGAAAUUUAACGGAUUUGGCGGCAAGAUAGCUUUUUAGAGGAACCUGCCCUGUGAACGAUGAUCCACGAGAGCCUUACUUUAUUUUGAAAUCAGUUUGUAUACCGCUGUUGUCAGUUAGAUUUUUGAGAAUAUUUUCUUUUUGGUAAAGCCAAUGACUUCAAGUAAAGGUGCAGCUUAUAGUAAAGUUAGAGGUGGGUUACAUUUAUAAGAAUAAGACGGAUUAGGAUUUAAUUGACUUAUAGAGGUGGAUUUACCGUAAAAUGAUUAGAUUUGGUGAUAGCUCUAUCUUGUGUACACACCGCCCGUCGCUCUUCUUUUUUGAAAUGAGAUAAGUCGUAACAAGGUAAGUGUAAUGGAAAUUGUACUG